GAUUUCUGGUGUGGAAGCACUGGCCCGCCUCUUCGGAGGUGUGUUGCCGGCUGCUUUCAGCCAUCCUUCUAGUUAACAACUCUAACCUUUACUGGCUUGGGGUUGUGAUCUAGAUCUUUUACUUUGAAAAAAUUAGAGUGUUCAAAGCAGGCUUACCGCUGUGAAUACAUUAGCAUGGAAUAAUAAGAUAGGACUUCGGUUUUAUUUUGUUGGUUUCUAGGACUGAAGUAAUGAUUGAUAGGGAUAGUUGGGGGUGCUAGUAUUCAAUGGCCAGAGGUGAAAUUCUUGGAUUCAUUGAAGACUAACUUAUGCGAAAGCAUU
rnacentral:rRNA from 1 species